rnacentral:tRNA from 1 species
CUUAGUUUAACGGUUAGAACAUGGGUCUCAUAUUUGACUGGGCUAAGCCUGGAUAUCCCAAGAUAUGAGUUCGAUUCUCAUAG